AAGCGAGAGAACGUUGCGUCAGCAACGGCCCGCAGGGCGAGCCACGCAGUGGCGAGUCAUCCUCUAUCACCGACCA
rnacentral:sRNA from 2 species